rnacentral:rRNA from 1 species
GCCUAUGUCCUAUCAGCUUGUUGGUGAGGUAAUGGCUCACCAAGGCUAUGACGGGUAUCCGGCCUGAGAGGGUGAUCGGACACACUGGAACUGAGACACGGUCCAGACUCCUACGGGAGGCAGCAGUAGGGAAUAUUGCUCAAUGGGGGAAACCCUGAAGCAGCAACGCCGCGUGGAGGAUGAAGGUUUUAGGAUUGUAAACUCCUUUUGUAAGAGAAGAUUAUGACGGUAUCUUACGAAUAAGCACCGGCUAACUCCGUGCCAGCAGCCGCGGUAAUACGGAGGGUGCAAGCGUUACUCGGAAUCACUGGGCGUAAAGAGCGCGUAGGCGGGAAAGUAAGUCAGAUGUGAAAUCCUGUAGCUUAACUACAGAACUGCAUUUGAAACUACUUUUCUAGAGUGUGGGA